AGUGUUGGGUCUGUUCUUAACAUGGCUAUUCAGGCUGUUUUGAGAAUGGUAGGGAACAACGAUUCUACUGCAAGAAAUCGAUUUUUUUUCUAAUAGACAAAGAUGAACAAGGAUGAAUAAUCAAUGAAAAAGGAAUGAAGAGGUUUAUCCAUGCAAGCUUCAAACCAAAGCCAAGGAUGUCGAUCCUUCCAGGGGAGUCCAAAGUUCUCCCUUAUUUUUCUCCCUUUAUUUUGAUUUUCAAAAGUUUGCAAUUUUUUAAGUGGGGGUGGGCAAUUGCUUGCAUGUUUAGUCUAAACUUGGAGGUUCAAAUUUUGCCAAAUUUCAAAAUUUCUAAAAAAAAUUUCCUUACAAUAAUGAGCACUAUACCUUCUUAGAUUACUUAGAUCUUGCAUAAAAAGCAUGACUAGCAACCCUUGAUCACUGAGCUUGGGUUUGUGAUGUAAAAUUCUGAAUGUUGAUGAGUAUAUGUGCUGAAAUUUGAGAAUAA